ACACGGAGGGUGCAAGCGUUGUUCGGAAUCACUGGGCGUAAAGGGCGCGCAGGCGGUUUGGUAAGUCAGAUGUGAAAGCCCACGGCUCAACCGUGGAAGUGCAUUUGAAACUGCCAGACUUGAGUACCAGAGGGGAAAGUGGAAUUCCCGGUGUAGAGGUGAAAUUCGUAGAUAUCGGGAGGAAUACCGGUGGCGAAGGCGACUUUCUGGCUGGAUACUGACGCUGAGGCGCGAAAGCGUGGGGAGCAAACAGGAUUAGAAACCCUAGUAGUCC
rnacentral:rRNA from 1 species